rnacentral:sRNA from 1 species
ACGCGCCUUGCUGCUGCCUCCUAGCUGGGAGCCUCUGCCGGAGCCGCUGCCUCCGUCACACCGUCGGGAGGCUUUGCAGUGAACUUCGACCACUUCCAGAUCCUUCGGGCCAUUGGGAAGGGCAGCUUUGGCAAGGUGUGCAUUGUGCAGAAGCGGGACACGGAGAAGAUGUACGCCAUGAAGUACAUGAACAAGCAGCAGUGCAUCGAGCGCGACGAGGUCCGCAACGUCUUCCGGGAGCUGGAGAUCCUGCAGGAGAUCGAGCACGUCUUCCUGGUGAACCUCUGGUACUCCUUCCAGGACGAGGAGGACAUGUUUAUGGUCGUGGACCUGCUUCUGGGCGGGGACCUGCGCUACCACCUGCAGCAGAACGUGCAGUUCUCCGAGGAUACGGUGAGGCUGUACAUCUGCGAGAUGGCGCUGGCUCUCGACUACCUGCGCGGCCAGCACAUCAUCCACAGAGAUGUCAAGCCUGACAACAUUCUCCUGGAUGAGAGAGGACAUGCACACCUGACCGACUUCAACAUUGCCACCAUCAUCAAGGACGGGGAGCGGGCGACGGCAUUAGCAGGCACCAAGCCGUACAUGGCUCCGGAGAUCUUCCACUCUUUUGUCAACGGCGGGACCGGCUACUCCUUCGAGGUGGACUGGUGGUCGGUGGGGGUGAUGGCCUAUGAGCUGCUGCGAGGAUGGAGGCCCUAUGACAUCCACUCCAGCAACGCCGUGGAGUCCCUGGUGCAGCUGUUCAGCACCGUGAGCGUCCAGUAUGUCCCCACGUGGUCCAAGGAGAUGGUGGCCUUGCUGCGGAAGCUCCUCACUGUGAACCCCGAGCACCGGCUCUCCAGCCUCCAGGACGUGCAGGCAGCCCCGGCGCUGGCCGGCGUGCUGUGGGACCACCUGAGCGAGAAGAGGGUGGAGCCGGGCUUCGUGCCCAACAAAGGCCGUCUGCACUGCGACCCCACCUUUGAGCUGGAGGAGAUGAUUCUGGAGUCCAGGCCCCUGCACAAGAAGAAGAAGCGCCUGGCCAAGAACAAGUCCCGGGACAACAGCAGGGACAGCUCCCAGUCCGCCCCACGGAGCAAGUCCAAGCCAUCCACCCAGAGGCAAGGGAGCUGGGCCUUGGCAUCCUCGGGCUUGGGAGAAUGACUAUCUUCAAGACUGCCUCGAUGCCAUCCAGCAAGACUUCGUGAUUUUUAACAGAGAAAAGCUGAAGAGGAGCCAGGACUUCCCGAGCGAGCCUCUCCCCGCCCCUGAGUCCAGGGAUGCUGCGGAGCCUGUGGAGGACGAGGCGGAACGCUCCGCCCUGCCCAUGUGCGGCCCCAUUUGCCCCUCGGCCGGGAGCGGCUAGGCCGGGACGCCCGUGGUCCUCACCCCUUGAGCUGCUUUGGAGACUCGGCUGCCAGAGGGAGGGCCAUGGGCCGAGGCCUGGCAUUCACGUUCCCACCCAGCCUAGCUGGCGGUGCCCACAGUGCCCCGGACACAUUUCACAUCUCAGGCUCGUGGUGGUGCAGGGGACAAGAGGCUGUGGGUGCAGGGGACACCUGUGGAGGGCAUUUCCCGUGGGCCCCCGAGACCCGCCUAGAUGGAGCAAGCGCUGCUGGGCGCCCUCUUACCGCUCACGGGGAGCUGGGGCCAUGGAUGGGACAGGAGUCUUUGUCCCUGCUCAGCCCGGAGGCUGUGCACGGCCCUCCUCACAAGGUGACCCUUGCAGCGCAGGCCGCGGGUGCCCCAGGCUCGGCUCAGUUCUUGGAGGUCAAGGGCAUGGGUUGGGGUAGUGGGUGGGGAGGUGAAUGUUUUCUAGAGAUUCAAACUGCUCCAGCAAUUUCUGUAUAGUUUUCACCUCUGAGAAUUACAAUGUGAGAACCGCU